AUUUUAACAUUUUAUUUUAUUUUAACAUUGAGUAUUUCCAGGUAUGCGUGUAGUCAUGAUACAGCGGAAAAAAAAAACGACGGCAUGUACCGGCAGGUCAACCCUCGCCCCGGCAGCAGAAUCCCGAAGAUCCAGGGGUCGAGGACAGCGAACGCUACAAAGGAUUCGACGAACACCCACCGAUAUGAUUUCAUCAAAGAUGCCGAAUAUUUGCUGACAGCGAUCAAAGCUUUCGAAGGUGUAAGGUGGAGGUGCGCUGCUGCUCGCAAAGCUAAGAUAUUCUGAUUCAACCUGCGGAACCCACUUCAUGAGGUUGGUGAAUCACGGGACAAAGAAUAAUGCAAGGGGCUAUAAAAUUCAACUCACUUCGUUAGCCAAACAGUGGCCCCUGAAAGAUGACCGAAAACUGCUGAAAAAACGAACAAUGGAAUGUUCAAAUGCAUCCGGCUGAUCCGGGUCCAGCCACUAUACGACAACGUCAUCGUCGGACUUCCAAAGCCAACAACCGGCUUGCUACCGCCUACGACUAUGUACCGCCUCCAACCAGGAUCUGCACCAGAUGACCGGCAUUCGGUCCUUGAACUCUAUGAAUGGAAAGGCCAAUCUGGAUAAAUUUUUAGACAUUAAGAUUUUUAUCAUGAAUAUGGAAUAUUAACAUAAAAAUACUAUGUUCCUACUCUUCUGCUAGUUUUCAUUUCGGAACCUAAAUUAAAGGUUCUGAGCCAUCUGAAAUAGUAAAAACCUAUAAAACUUCCGGAGCUCCAU